rnacentral:rRNA from 1 species
UACGUAGGAGACGAGCGUUGUCCGGAAUUGCUGGGCGUAAAGCGCGUGUAGGCGGAUGAGCAAGUCUGCUGUGAAAGCUCCUGGCUUAACCGGGAGUGGUCGGUGGAAACUGCUCGUCUGGAGGACGGUAGAGGUAGGUAGAAUUCCCGGUGUAGUGGUGAAAUGCGUAGAGAUCGGGAGGAAUACCUGUGGCGAAGGCGGCCUACUGGGCCGGACCUGACGCUGAGACGCGAAGGCGUGGGGAGCGAACGGG